rnacentral:rRNA from 1 species
GAUGAACGCUGGCGGCGUGCCUAAUACAUGCAAGUCGAGCGAACGGACGAGAAGCUUGCUUCUCUGAUGUUAGCGGCGGACGGGUGAGUAACACGUGGAUAACCUACCUAUAAGACUGGGAUAACUUCGGGAAACCGGAGCUAAUACCGGAUAAUAUUUUGAACCGCAUGGUUCAAAAGUGAAAGACGGUCUUGCUGUCACUUAUAGAUGGAUCCGCGCUGCAUUAGCUAGUUGGUAAGGUAACGGCUUACCAAGGCAACGAUGCAUAGCCGACCUGAGAGGGUGAUCGGCCACACUGGAACUGAGACACGGUCCAGACUCCUACGGGAGGCAGCAGUAGGGAAUCUUCCGCAAUGGGCGAAAGCCUGACGGAGCAACGCCGCGUGAGUGAUGAAGGUCUUCGGAUCGUAAAACUCUGUUAUUAGGGAAGAACAUACGUGUAAGUAACUGUGCACAUCUUGACGGUACCUAAUCAGAAAGCCACGGCUAACUACGUG